AUUGAACGCUGGCGGCAUGCCUUACACAUGCAAGUCGAACGGUAACAGGUCUUCGGAUGCUGACGAGUGGCGAACGGGUGAGUAAUACAUCGGAACGUGCCUAGUAGUGGGGGAUAACUACUCGAAAGAGUGGCUAAUACCGCAUGAGAUCUACGGAUGAAAGCAGGGGAUCGCAAGACCUUGUGCUACUAGAGCGGCCGAUGGCAGAUUAGGUAGUUGGUGGGAUAAAAGCUUACCAAGCCGACGAUCUGUAGCUGGUCUGAGAGGACGAUCAGCCACACUGGGACUGAGACACGGCCCAGACUCCUACGGGAGGCAGCAGUGGGGAAUUUUGGACAAUGGGCGAAAGCCUGAUCCAGCAAUGCCGCGUGCAGGAUGAAGGCCUUCGGGUUGUAAACUGCUUUUGUACGGAACGAAAAGCUCUGGGUUAAUACCCUGGGGUCAUGACGGUACCGUAAGAAUAAGCACCGGCUAACUCUGUGCCAGCCGCCGCCGUAAUAC
rnacentral:rRNA from 1 species